AUAAACAUACGCUACGCGAAUAUCAUCAUAAACGCGAUAUCCCGGUGUAAAAUCGCUUUAUCAAAAUGGUAAUAUUCGAUUACAUUGAAAUAAGUCAUGUAUUUAAAGUCUACUGAUAACACACUACCGCAACAACGAUUCGCACUUCCAACUGAGUAAACAUUUGGAGUAAAUAACAUGAAAGGGGCCAUUGCCAACUGUGUAACAAUAUAGAUAUAGUAUAAUGUUUGGAUCAGUUAGGACAUAUUAGGACAUUAGGAGCUUAUCGACUGGAAAAGUUUGAAUAAUUUACAGGAUUCGGAGGUGGUCCACUCGACAUUGGAAAGCCAAAUCCAGGUGGAGGAAUAGAAAACUGUGGUGGCAUCAUACCAGGAGGUCCUGGAGGCAAUCCUGGUGUCGGUAUAAAUGGAGUUCCAGGAAUAAUAGGCGGUACGAAGCCUGGUGGUAUGCUCGGAGGCACCGAUGGGAAGGCUGCCACGGUCCCAGGUGGAGGAAUACCCUCACUGGAUGCCUUAGUUGUAAAAUAAAAUUUGAAUAGAAAUGGACUCCUGCUUUACAGGUUAAGCUACCGGCACAGGACUUGGAUGCGCGGUAGCUGUUACUGAACAAUGUAAUAGAUGAAUAAAAUCUCACCAUAAUCCUUGCUUUUGACUAAGAAAUGAAUAUCAUGAAUUAACUAGAUCACCAUACAUUUGAACAAACGUAAACAAUUCGCACGCUCUUCGAUAAAACGAGCACUCACAACUUGGUCACAACUUUACGCAUU
rnacentral:misc_RNA from 1 species